UUUCCGUAGGUGAACCUGCGGAAGGAUCAUUCAUAAUAAAAUGUUUUAUGGCACUUUUUAAAAAUCCAUAUCCACCUUGUGUGCAAUGUUAGAUCUCGUCAAUCUUGGCGAGAUUUUUAUACAUCAACUCAUUCUUUAACUAAUUUGUCUGAAAAAUAUUAUGAAUACUUAAUUCAAAAUACAACUUUCAACAACGGAUCUCUUGGCUCUC
rnacentral:misc_RNA from 1 species